UACGUAGGGUGCGAGCGCUACUCUUCCUUCCUUUUCUUAAAGCGUGCGCAGGCGGUCUUGUAAGACAGAGGUGAAAUCCCCGGGCUCAACCUGGGAACGGCCUUUGUGACUGCAAGACUAGAGUACGGCAGAGGGGGAUGGAAUUCCGCGUGUAGCAGUGAAAUGCGUAGAUAUGCGGAGGAACACCAGUGGCGAAGGCGAUCCCCUGGGCCUGUACUGACGCUCAUGCACGAAAGCGUGGGGAGCAAACAGG
rnacentral:rRNA from 1 species